rnacentral:rRNA from 1 species
UUAACACAUGCAAGUCGAACGGUGAAGCCAAGCUUGCUUGGUGGAUCAGUGGCGAACGGGUGAGUAACACGUGAGCAACCUGCCCUGGACUCUGGGAUAAGCGCUGGAAACGGCGUCUAAUACUGGAUAUGAGACGUGAUCGCAUGGUCGUGUUUGGAAAGAUUUUUCGGUCUGGGAUGGGCUCGCGGCCUAUCAGCUUGUUGGUGAGGUAAUGGCUCACCAAGGCGUCGACGGGUAGCCGGCCUGAGAGGGUGACCGGCCACACUGGGACUGAGACACGGCCCAGACUCCUACGGGAGGCAGCAGUGGGGAAUAUUGCACAAUGGGCGGAAGCCUGAUGCAGCAACGCCGCGUGAGGGAUGACGGCCUUCGGGUUGUAAACCUCUUUUAGCAGGGAAGAAGCGAAAGUGACGGUACCUGCAGAAAAAGCGCCGGCUAACUACGUGCCAGCAGCCGCGGUAAUACGUAGGGCGCAAGCGUUAUCCGGAAUUAUUGGGCGUAAAGAGCUCGUAGGCGGUUUGUCGCGUCUGCUGUGAAAUCCCGAGGCUCAACCUCGGGCCUGCAGUGGGUACGGGCAGACUAGAGUGCGGUAGGGGAGAUUGGAAUUCCUGGUGUAGCGGUGGAAUGCGCAGAUAUCAGGAGGAACACCGAUGGCGAAGGCAGAUCUCUGGGCCGUAACUGACGCUGAGGAGCGAAAGGGUGGGGAGCAAACAGGCUUAGAUACCCUGGUAGUCCACCCCGUAAACGUUGGGAACUAGUUG